AGUGAACGCUGGCGGUAGGCCUAACACAUGCAAGUCGAACGGCAGCACAGUAAGAGCUUGCUCUUACGGGUGGCGAGUGGCGGACGGGUGAGGAAUACAUCGGAAUCUACUUUUUCGUGGGGGAUAACGUAGGGAAACUUACGCUAAUACCGCAUACGACCUACGGGUGAAAGCAGGGGAUCUUCGGACCUUGCGCGAUUGAAUGAGCCGAUGUCGGAUUAGCUAGUUGGCGGGGUAAAGGCCCACCAAGGCGACGAUCCGUAGCUGGUCUGAGAGGAUGAUCAGCCACACUGGAACUGAGGCACGGUCCAGACUCCUACGGGAGGCAGCAGUGGGGAAUAUUGGACAAUGGGCGUAAGCCUGAUCCAGCCAUACCGCGUGGGUGAAGAAGGCCUUCGGGUUGUAAAGCCCUUUUGUUGGGAAAGAAAAGCAGCAGGUUAAUACCCCGCUGUUCUGACGGUACCCAAAGAAUAAGCACCGGCUAACUUCGUG
rnacentral:rRNA from 1 species